rnacentral:misc_RNA from 1 species
CUGCCCUCAGGUCUCCCUCUUCUUUCAAAGGAGAGAGAUUCCUGGUGUUGGGGAUCUACAGGCGGUCUAACUGCCUGUAGCCCCCUAAAUGCAUCGGCGUGCGUGCUGUACGUUUUCCCUCUGCGUAGUGGAUUUUUCUUAUCUCGCAUCGGGACGCAGCGCUGCUCAGCCGCUAAAUCAAACUUGCUUAAACGAA